AGCAGCCGCGGUAAUUCCAGCUCCAAUAGCGUAUAUUAAAGUUGUUGCAGUUAAAAAGCUCGUAGUUGAAUUUCGGGGUCAGUAGAUUGGUCAUGCCUCCGGUAUGCACUGGUCUUACUGGCUCCUCCUUCCUGAUGAACCGUAAUGCCAUUAAUUUGGUGUUGCGGGGAGACAGGACUGUUACUUUGAAAAAAUUGAGUGUUUAAAGCAGGCUAACGCUUGAAUACAUUAGCAUGGAAUAAUGAAAUAGGGCGUUCGAUCUUAUUUUGUUGGUUUCUAAGAUUGACGUAAUGAUUAAUAGGGAUAGUUGGGGGCAUUAGUAUUCAAUUGUCAGAGGUUGAAAUUCUUGGAUUUAUUGAAGACUAACUACUGCGAAAGCAUUUGCCAAGGUAUGUUUUACAUUAAUCAAAGAACGAAAGUUAGGGAUCGAAGACGAUCAGAUACCGUCGUAGUCUUAACCAUAACUAUAGACCGACUAGGGAUCGGAUGUAUUGUUAAUUUUUAUGUACUCAGUUCGCGU
rnacentral:rRNA from 1 species